AUACGUAGGUGGCAAGCGUUAUCCGGAUUUACUGGGUGUAAAGGGCGCGUAGGCGGGGGUGCAAGUCAGAUGUGAAAUCUAUGGGCUUAACUCAUAAACUGCAUUUGAAACUGUAUCUCUUGAGUGCUGGAGAGGUAGACGGAAUUCCUUGUGUAGCGGUGAAAUGCGUAGAUCUAAGGGAGAACACCAGUGGCGAAGGCGGUCUCCCGGACAGUAACUGACGCUGAGGCGCGAAAGCGUGGGGAGCAAACAGGAGUAGAUACCCUGGUUGUCCACGCUGGAAACGAGGAAUACUAGGUGUGGGGGGACUGACCCUGUCCGUGCCGCAGUUAACACAAUAAGUAUUCCACCUGGGGAGUACGGCCGCAAGGUUGAAACUCAAAUGAAUUGACGGGG
rnacentral:rRNA from 1 species